rnacentral:tRNA from 1 species
GCCUGGGUGGCUCAUUCAGUUAAGCAUCUGACUUUGGCUCAGGUCAUGAUCUUACAGUUUGUGGGUUCGAGCCCUGCGUCAGGCU